AUGGAGCAGCCUCGCCUGCCAAGGACCGCGUGCUGCCUCCUAAUGAGCGUGGAUGGCUACACGGGGCCGGAGCGCAUGCGUGGGAGGCGCCGCACUUUUACGCCCCACACUUUACGUCGGCUGCACUUUACGCCCCACACUUUACACCCCACACUUUACGUCAGCCACACUUUACGCCCCACACUUUACGUCGGCCGCACUUUACGCCCCACACUUUACGUAGGCCACACUUUUAUGCCGGCCAUACUUUACACCCCACACUUUACGCCCCACACUUUACAUCGGCCACUUUACACCCCGCACUUCACGUCGGCCACACUUUACGCCCCGCACUUCACGUCGGCCGCACUUUACGUCGGAUGCUCUCACAGCCCAGAUGCAGGCGGAGGAUGGUGUCAACGCCUUCCCGAGCGUCACUGUCUCGCGGCCCAAACGCCUCUUUCGUGGUCCCCGAGACCUCUCAGCUUGGUUACACUGGGAACCCAGGCCUCCCUGCCUCCAUCACGCGUGGCUCAGCCUCUCUCGUUCUGCACCCCUGUCUUCGGCCACACCCUCUAUCCAACCCGGCUCUCCCGGAUGGACUGUGACCUGGAUAUCAUGGCCACAGUGUGUGGAGGAACUCAGAGCACGCUCCCUACGGCCAGGCCCUACACACACCUCCAGGUACCGGACCCAGCCGCGCCUCUCCCGCCCAACGUCGUCUUCCGAUUCAGGGCGCCCCCAGGCACUCAGGGAAGCCUGGAGCUCUGAAGAGGUGAAUGUCAGCUUGUGAACAGACACUGUCGGAAGGAAGGCGACAUCAGACGAAAAAGCUGCCGGUGUCAUCGUAAGGGAAGUCUUCAGUCUGUUGAAAUGCAUCUCUUAUUGGCACCAUAUCAUCGGUCUCAUUCUGAAAAUGUGCCUUUAAAAAAUUAUUCAUUUACUUUCAUGCACUUGAAAGGUGGGGUGGGAGAGAGAUACAGAGAUCUUCCAUAUACUGGAUGAUUCCCCAAAUGCCCAUGAUAGCCAGGGCUGGGCCAGGCCAAAGCCAGGAGCCUGGAGCUCCAUCCGGGUCUCCCACGUGGGUGGCAGGGCCCCUAGCACUUGAGCCAUCACCUGCUGCCUCCCAGCUGCCUUAGCAGGAAGCUGGCAUGGAAGCACGGGGGGCAGGACAAGGACCGACACUCUGAUGCUGGCUGUGGGCGUCCCAAACAGCAGCUUAGCCCGCUGCACCACAACACCUGCCCCUUAGAGUCCAUGCGGUCCCACUUUCCCGGCCUACAUGACCCUGCAGCCUACCAGCAACCAAAGAAGAGAUUAACUCCACGUUUUUUGUUCCCAGGCAAAAUGGGUGUUGCGCUGGGUUGAAGAGUGUUCCCACUGAAAACAUAUCCAGAGGUCAGCAUUGUGGCACAGCAGGUAAAGCCAAUCCAUAUGAUGCCGGCAAUCCUAUAUGGGCACCGGUUUUUGAGUCCUGGCUGCUCCUCUUCCAAUCUGGCUCCCUGCUAAUGCACCUGGGAAAGCAGUGGAAGAGGGCCCAAGUACUUGGGCCCCUGCACCUACAUGGGAGACCUGGGAGAAGCUCCUGGCUUCCACCUGGCCCAGACCUAGAUUUUACAGGUGUUUGGGGAGUGAACGAGCCAGUGGAAGAUCUCUCUGUCUCUGUCUCUCUUCUCUUUCUCUCUGUAACUCUGCCUCUCAAAUUAAAGCAAAAACAUGUCCAGGUCCUAACUUCCAGUCCGAUUGGAACCCCCAGUUCCAAUAAGAUGGGACACUUAUUGGAAACAGAGAAUUUGCAGAGGCAAUGAGCUACGGAUCCUGGCGUGAGAUCAUCCUGGGUUCUGGGCAGGCCCUCAGUCUAACCACUGUUGCCCUUGGAAGUGAAGGGGGAGGCAUGAGGGGAUGGCGAGGGGAGCAAUCCAAGGAGCCCUAAGGCCCCCCGAACUGCAAGAGGAGCCGAGAACCACAGAACAAAGACAGAAGGGAACCUAAAGCGAUCGGCCAACAGAACUUAACCCGAAGGCUAGCGGACACUCAGACUGGCUGACCCAGGGACAAUCGACCAGAGAGCUAACGACGUGAUCGGAGCUGUGUGCAGCAGGAGAACAGCAUCCAGUGGACUUUUGCGCGGUGAGAUCCCACGGGAAGCCCCUAACGCCGCGUGUGAGUCAGACGCUCACAACGCAAACCAGAGGCUCCCUCGCUGCCAGCACGGGCGAGGACCCCACCCCACCCCGACCACCCACGGUCAGCACAGAACUUCCAGUUCAAGGCCAAGGCCCCUGCCUAGUGGAUGUUCUUUCAUUUUUUUUUUUCCUUCCCAGCUGAACCCACCUGAGAGACAGACUCACCACUUCCUGCCCGGCCGCCGCAUGUUCCUUAGCAGAGUGUGGCCCCAGUGAGCCGUGUGCAAGCUGCCGAGGACUGCUGGGGCCAGGUGCAGGGGAGUGGCGUCGGGCAAGCUCGCCCUGCAGCCCAGAAGUCAGGGAGGCUGAGCCGGCAAGGGGCACUGGCGCGUGGUGCAUCAAAAACGUUCUAUCACUGUGAAGAACGGGCGCUGGGCUCCCUGUACUGGAGGAAGUGGUUGUGGGCAGCCCUGGAGCUGGGUGCAACAGCAAGGGUUCUAGGAGAGGCAAACGGCGAGGGGCCCUGGGCCGAGGACAGGAGGCAGCUGCUCCACGGGCGUGCGCACAGAGCCAGCACGAAGAGCUCUGCUGACCCUGGGGACUGCUGGGAGCAGCCACUGGUCACCCAGCCAAGGCUGGACCUCUGGGCACGAUUCUGCGUUGUGUGGACUGAGCCCCUCACAAGGACUGUCAUCAGCUCUCUGGUGGAUUCAAGACAGGGGCUGGCUCUUGGUGUCCCACGGCCUCUGGCUGGCCUGGGUCUGCGAGGCGGGAGCAUGAUUCCACCGGACGCUAAGAGUUCUGCACUCACCCCCAAGCGUCACCAGCUCCGGCCUCAGCUUCCAUGAAGCCUUAGUCUCUGACCAUGACUGUAUUGAUCAUGAAAACAGGUGGGCAUUCAGCCUAGGGGGUAAGACGCCAAUUAGAAUGCCUGCAUCCCAUACAGAAGUUCCUAGGUUCGAUUCCUGGCUCCAGUUCCUAUCCCCCAAAUAGAGAAAUAAAAAAUUUCAAAACCUUCUACA
rnacentral:lncRNA from 1 species